GACGAACGCUGGCGGCGUGCUUAACACAUGCCAGUCGAACGGAAAGGCCCUGCUUUUGUGGGGUGCUCGAGUGGCGAACGGGUGAGUAACACGUGAGUAACCUGCCCUUGACUUUGGGAUAACUUCAGGAAACUGGGGCUAAUACCGGAUAGGAGCUCCUGCUGCAUGGUGGGGGUUGGAAAGUUUCGGCGGUUGGGGAUGGACUCGCGGCUUAUCAGCUUGUUGGUGGGGUAGUGGCUUACCAAGGCUUUGACGGGUAGCCGGCCUGAGAGGGUGACCGGCCACAUUGGGACUGAGGUACGGCCCAGACUGCUACGGGAGGCAGCAGUGGGGAAUAUUGCACAAUGGGCGGAAGCCUGAUGCAGCAACGCCGCGGUCGGGAUGACGGCCUUCGGGGUGUAAACCGCAUUCGCCUGUGACGAAGCGUGAGUGACGGUAAUGGGUAAAGAAGCACCGGCUAACUACGUG
rnacentral:rRNA from 1 species